GGAUGAAACAAAUUUAUCGCAAAACAAAUGAAGGGUUCUACAGUUAACCUAUAAUAAAUUCAACACAUCAACACUCAACAGUCAUAACAAUAGCAAUUGCUUUCCUGCGUAUCAUCCUUACUACUGCCUAUAUCGUACCUUAUAUUUUGAGUUUUCUGUGGUGAACGAAUGGCUCAAGUUAAUGAAGCUAAUGGAAUAUCAAAAACAUACCAAGACAAAUUCUGACAUUUUACAACAUUCUCCAGGCCCAUAGAAGACUGACUUAUGAUGGCGAAAGACUUUUGAAGGCGGUUACCUUGAUUGGGAUCAUAUCUAUUAAACCUUCGAAUCCUGCUCUCAAAAGUAAAUGUGAUACCAUUCAAAUGGAAUAAGAUUGAUUUGAAUUGGAAUUAUGAAAUUGAAUUUGUUAUUCCUGUAUCAUAGUGCAUUUUUCUACUAGUUACCCUACGUAUUGUACAUUAUUGUAAUAAAGCACUAGCUGUUCCAUAAUUGGAAGUCUUCGAAAUAAAAGGUUCUUUUUCAAGUU
rnacentral:misc_RNA from 1 species